rnacentral:rRNA from 1 species
AUGAACGCUGGCGGCGUGCCUAAUACAUGCAAGUCGAGCGAACAGACGAGGAGCUUGCUCCUCUGACGUUAGCGGCGGACGGGUGAGUAACACGUGGAUAACCUACCUAUAAGACUGGGAUAACUUCGGGAAACCGGAGCUAAUACCGGAUAAUAUAUUGAACCGCAUGGUUCAAUAGUGAAAGACGGUUUUGCUGUCACUUAUAGAUGGAUCCGCGCCGCAUUAGCUAGUUGGUAAGGUAACGGCUUACCAAGGCAACGAUGCGUAGCCGACCUGAGAGGGUGAUCGGCCACACUGGAACUGAGACACGGUCCAGACUCCUACGGGAGGCAGCAGUAGGGAAUCUUCCGCAAUGGGCGAAAGCUUGACGGAGCAACGCCGCGUGAGUGAUGAAGGUCUUCGGAUCGUAAAACUCUGUUAUUAGGGAAGAACAAAUGUGUAAGUAACUAUGCACGUCUUGACGGUACCUAAUCAAAAAGCCACGGCUAACUACGUG